rnacentral:misc_RNA from 1 species
UAGUAUUCUAUUGCCAGCGCUUAAUUGCGCGGCGAUAAACCUUUACACACAUUGUCUAGUUUUUUGAACUUUGCUUUGGGUGGAGUCUAACUCUGCCCAAAGGUUAUUAAACACAUUAUUUUCUAAUGUUAAACAAUUAAACCUUUAGUCAUGAAAAUUUUUUAUAAAUUAAAAAUCUUCA